CGACAAAAGUGGUAUUUUAUAGUGACUAGUGCAGCGGCCUCCGGAAACAUAAGUGGAUUAAUUUCACAUCGGUUUCCAAGCGUCAGACACGCAUGUACAAUGUAUUUCUAUAAAACAAUGCAAGAACGUUCAAUUAUCGAAGAGUAUAGUCAAUGUGGAUUCGAUUGCGUGUUACAGGAUGAAGAAUUGAAGAAAUAUGGUUCAAAGCCCGAAUCCUGUCUAGGGAGCAUCCCAGUAACCUAAAUCCAAUGGAACUAAAAAGGAACCUGCCCGGCUCGGUGGUUCAAUUUAACUGCAACUUAACUGGAUAUAAUGAGGCACGUAACGUUAAUUCACUUCACUUUAAAC
rnacentral:lncRNA from 1 species